GUUGAGAGAGAUUGUCGAAGAGGAUCGAGCUACAUUAUUCCAUGCCAUUAUGAAAAAUGAGAAGGCUUCUAAUAUGGGAAGUCUGCAGGAAUAAGUCCUUGUACCCAAUAAGGCACUGUGGUGAGCCAGAUAUCGGCUUGGUGUGGAAAUAAUGUGUUCCAACACUGUGGUGAGCCAGAUAUCGGCUUGGUGCGGAAAUAACGUGUUCCAACACAUUUGGAGGCGGAUUCAGGAUUUAAAGUCAGUACGUGUGAAAUGCUAGUGUAUUUAGUGCUUAUUUGUGACAAUGGGUAAGGACUCGGUAUAAAUAAGUGGGCUUUAAUAUUUGAACUAUAUAUGUAACUCGAGCUGAAUACAGCGAGAGGCAGAUUCGGGAUUUUAAGCAAGUAGGCGCUAACUGCUCUACUCUGUUUGUAUUAUGCUUCUUUGUGGCAAUGUGUAAGGACUCGGUAUAAAUAAGUUGUAUUUUUUUUGUUUGAAUUGUAGUAUAUCUGUAACUUCAGCUGAAUAUCUGUGCUUGCCUUCUGUCUUUUUUCGACCUUCUCUUCCAAUCUGGAAGGGGCUUACCUAGUCUCAAGAUCUUCAAGUUUAUAACUGAUAUUUUUUAAAGGCAGAAUAGCUAAAUAACACUUAUACUUGUG
rnacentral:lncRNA from 1 species